GACGAACGCUGGCGGCGUGCUUAACACAUGCAAGUCGAACGAAGUGGCGAACGGGUGAGUAACGCGUAAUCAACCUGCCCUUCAGAGGGGGAAAACAGUUGGAAACGACUGCUACUACAGCAUACUGAAGGUGGGGAUUGCGUCUGAUUAGGUAGUUGGAGGGGUAACGGCCCACCAAGGCGAUGAUCGGUAGCCGGUCUGAGAGGUUGAACGGCCACAUUGGGACUGAGACAAGGCCCAGACUCCUACGGGAGGCAGCAGUGGGGAAUCUUCCGCAAUGGGCGAAAGUCUGACGGAGCAACGCCGCGUGGGUGAUGACGGCUUUCGGGUUGUAAAGCUCUGUUAAUCGGGACGCGGUACCGGAAUAGAAAGCCACGGCUAACUACGUGCCAGCCGCCGCGGUAAUAC
rnacentral:rRNA from 1 species